rnacentral:lncRNA from 1 species
GCUGCUUCUUCUGUUACAACUGCUGCUUCUUCUGUUACAAGCUCGAAGUCAUGGGAAGAUUUCCGAAAGUAUCGCUCCCAGCAUCCAGGCCCUCUAUCUAUGAGGGACUUCCAUCGCUGGUGUUUGUAUGGGGACGACCACCCCUCCUUUAGAUGGAGGGAUGGCACCCCAUACAACACGGGGAAUAGAGCGGAUGCUGGGAGGAGAAGACAACGUGGCUCAAAAGUUGUCAAUAAUUUUUUUUACAUUUUAAAAUGUAAAGAAAUUGACAACUUUUGAGCCACUUC